rnacentral:rRNA from 1 species
GGGGGGGGCAAGCGUUGUUCGGAAUUACUGGGCGUAAAGGGCUCGUAGGCGGCCAACUAAGUCAGACGUGAAAUCCCUCGGCUUAACCGGGGAACUGCGUCUGAUACUGGAUGGCUUGAGUUCGGGAGAGGGAUGCGGAAUUCCAGGUGUAGCGGUGAAAUGCGUAGAUAUCUGGAGGAACACCGGUGGCGAAGGCGGCAUCCUGGACCGACACUGACGCUGCGGAGCGAAAGCCAGGGGAGCAAACGGGAUUAGAUACCCCGGUAGUCCUGGCCCUAAACGAUGAAUGCUUGGUGUGGCGGGUAUCGAUCCCUGCCGUGCCGAAGCUAACGCAUUAAGCAUUCCGCCUGGGGAGUAAGGUCGCAAGGSUG